rnacentral:misc_RNA from 1 species
GGAAGGCGUGCAAAUCAGGUGUAUGCAAUUGACUUCGGUCUAGCCAAGAAGUAUCGAGAUACUUCAUCUCACCAACACAUUCCUUACCGUGAGAACAAAAACUUGACGGGCACUGCAAGAUAUGCAAGCAUGAACACUCACCUCGGUAUCGAGCAAAGCAGGAGGGAUGAUUUGGAGUCUCUUGGAUUUGUUCUUAUGUACUUCCUCCGAGGAAGUCUUCCUUGGCAAGGGCUGAAAGCAGGAAAUAAGAAGCAGAAGUAUGAGAAAAUUAGUGAA